AUUCUGCUUAUCGAUCCAAUUCCUUAUCGAUUCCCUUAUGGAUACCUCUUGUGAAUUUUCUGUGUACUAAAAGUAGGCUUUACAGGUUUUCUAUGUCAACAUUUUAGUGACUCUUAAACGAAAUAAAUACGAAAUUAGCACUCGAUACUUGAUCUCUGGACAUAAAUAAA